rnacentral:lncRNA from 1 species
GCUGCAGUGUUCUGUGAUUGCGUCUGUGGAGCGCCACCGCACUUCAGUCUGGACAACAUAAUGAAACCUCAUCUCUUAGAAAUGAACUGGCUGAUGUUAGGUACUUGCCAGGGUAGACGACCUUAACUAAGCCCCUGGGGUUCUGUGAGACCUCUGCAAAUAGAUCUUCUGCUUAACUGUUCAAAAAGGCAAGGGCUGUCCCCCUCAAAAAACAACAUUGACUUCUAGAGACCCAUGGAGAGAUGGAAGUUUCUGAAGACUGGCUUGCUAGAUAGGAAAAUAACCAAUGCUCCAGCAGUGUUCUUGGGAUUGGAAUUUGCUGAUUCAUGUUUUUUAAAAUGCAUGAUCACAUCAAAUUUGCUGAGCUGUUGACUAUCAACCCAGCCUAAACCCACCGGCUCUUACCCUUUAACUUUCAUAAAAGAGAAGCCUGAUUUUGUUCAGGUAUCUAGCCUUCUCCCAAAGACCCUGUGUGGCUUGAAGGAUACCUUUGCUGGAGCCAUGGAUAGGAUAAAUCUCGAUCAGUAAAACAAUUAGGAAAUCCUGUACUUUUGCAAUUGGUUCGGAAUGAUUCGUACAUGACAAAGGACACACGAGGCAAUUUGGAGGGGCUCUCAUUGGCCAAAUCUGGCAAAAUUUGAGUAUCAAAAAGAUAAGAUGGUACCAUUGAAUAGAAAGAGAAUCGAACUCCAUAGGGAUUUCAAAGAAAAAGAGGUUGGGGAGGGUGCAGAGAAAAAAAACAACAGCAUCUUUAUAGAAGAGUGCCCCUAAAAAAAUGCAGAAAGAGAGAGUGAGAAAAGUACCACUUUGCUACCACCAAAUGUAAUAAUUGAUUAAGGUAUUUUCACCAUUGAGUGGGAAGUUAAGAAAUGAAACAUGUAUUCUCAAAGUACCACCUCAUUUAAAAAGGAGAAGAGGUACUUUUACACGGAUAAAUCUGAUGAAUACGACCCCAACCAUGUAGUCACAAUAAUGGGACAAUUUAAUAUGUUCUUCCCCAUGUCCUGGAUGCCACUGGAAGUGCACACUGCUUGUAUGUAAUAUUCUUGCCAAAAUGUUUAUGCUGAAUCUAUAAUCUCAGAGCUUAUCCACAUAUCAGAACACUAGUUUUAUAGUCUGACUAUACUUGAAAUAUUCACAAAUAUUUAUUUUGCUAUUAAUCCUUGGGUCAAAGUUUAUUUUUCUUGAAUGCAAUAUUUGUAUUUCAAAUGUUCCAUCAACAUUUACAACUUUUAAAGUUUUCAUCAUAAGUCUCAAACAUCUUGCUGUUUUUUUUUAAAUCAUGAAUGGGUAUUGGAUUUUGUGCAAUGCUUUUUCUGGUCUUUUGAGAUGUUGAGAUGAUGCUUUUUCUGGCUCUGUGCUUUAUUAUAUGGUGUAUUAUGUUAACUGAUAAUUCAGAUGUUAAACCAACCUUGCAUUCCUGGGAUAAGUUCCACAUGGUAAUAAUAUAGCAUUUUUUUUUUGUAUAUUGCUAGAUUCAGUUUGCUAAUAUUUUGCUGAGAAUUUUUGCAUCUAACCUCAUGAGGAACAUUGGUCUGCAAUUUUCUUUUGAUGUCUUUGGUUUUAGUAUCAGGUUAUUACUGGUCUCAUAGUAUGAGUUGGGAAAUAUUCCUUCCAUCUCUGUUUUAUGAGUUCAUUAA